rnacentral:rRNA from 1 species
GACGAACGCUGGCGGCGUGCCUAAUACAUGCAAGUCGAGCGAGACUCUUCGGAGUCUAGCGGCGGACGGGUGAGUAACACGUGGGCAACCUGCCUGUAAGACUGGGAUAACACCGGGAAACCGGUGCUAAUACCGGAUAAUCCUUUUCCUCUCAUGAGGAAAAGCUGAAAGUCGGUUUCGGCUGACACUUACAGAUGGGCCCGCGGCGCAUUAGCUAGUUGGUGAGGUAACGGCUCACCAAGGCGACGAUGCGUAGCCGACCUGAGAGGGUGAUCGGCCACACUGGGGCUGAGACACGGCCCAGACUCCUACGGGAGGCAGCAGUAGGGAAUCUUCCACAAUGGACGAAAGUCGGAUGGAGCAACGCCGCGUGAGCGAUGAAGGCCUUCGGGUCGUAAAGCUCUGUUGUUAGGGAAGAACAAGUACCGGAGUAACUGCCGGUACCUUGACGGUACCUAACCAGGAAGCCACGGCUAACUACGUGCCAGCAGCCGCGGUAACAC